GAGGCGCCGCUGGAGGCGGAGCUGGAGGCGGAGCUGGACCUGGAGGGGGCGGAGCUGGAGGAGGUGGAUGUGCACAUCCAGGAGAACCUGGAGGACGCCCUGGUGCAGGAGGCGCUGCAGACCGGCGUGGAUCUCCGUCAGUACUCGCGCCAGGUGGAGCUGGAGCUGCAGGAGGUGGAGAGAGCGUCCAUCCAGGACUGUAUCC